AUACGGGGGGUGCAAGCGUUAAUCGGAAUUACUGGGCGUAAAGCGCGCGUAGGCGGUUAUUUAAGUCAGAUGUGAAAUCCCCGGGCUUAACCUGGGAAUUGCAUUUGAGACUGGAUGGCUAGAGUGUGAUAGAGGUGAGUGGAAUUUCAGGUGUAGCGGUGAAAUGCGUAGAUAUCUGAAGGAACAUCAGUGGCGAAGGCGACUCACUGGGCCAUUACUGACGCUGAGGUGCGAAAGCGUGGGUAGCAAACAGGAUUAGAUACCCUGGUAGUCCACGCCCUAAACGAUGUCAACUAGGUGUAUGGAGAAUAUAUUCUUUGUGUAUCGAAGCUAACGCGAUAAGUUGACCGCCUGGGGAGUACGGUCGCAAGACUAAA
rnacentral:rRNA from 1 species